UACGGGGGGGCGAAGCGUUGUUCGGAAUUACUGGGCGUAAAGGGCUCGUAGGCGGCCAACUAAGUCAGACGUGAAAUCCCUCGGCUUAACCGGGGAACUGCAUCUGAUACUGGAUGGCUUGAGUUCGGGAGAGGGAUGCGGAAUUCCAGGUGUAGCGGUGAAAUGCGUAGAUAUCUGGAGGAACACCGGUGGCGAAGGCGGCAUCCUGGACCGACACUGACGCUGAGGAGCGAAAGCCAGGGGA
rnacentral:rRNA from 1 species